rnacentral:rRNA from 1 species
GCUCAACCUUCGGGCUUGCAGUGGGUACGGGCAGACUAGAGUCCGUAGGGGAGAUUGGAAUUCCUGGUGUAGCGGUGGAAUGCGCAGAUAUCAGGAGGAACACCGAUGGCGAAGGCAGAUCUCUGGGCCGUAACUGACGCUGAGGAGCGAAAGCGUGGGGAGCGAACAGGAUUAGAUACCCUGGUAGUCCACGCCGUAAACGUUGGGCGCUAGAUGUAGGGACCUUUCCACGGUUUCUGUGUCGUAGCUAACGCAUUAAGCGCCCCGCCUGGGGAGUACGGCCGCAAGGCUAAAACUCAAAGGAAUUGACGGGGGCCCGCACAAGCGGCGGAGCAUGCGGAUUAAUUCGAUGCAACGCGAAGAACCUUACCAAGGCUUGACAUACACCGGAAACGGCCAGAGAUGGUCGCCCCCUUGUGGUCGGUGUACAGGUGGUGCAUGGUUGUCGUCAGCUCGUGUCGUGAGAUGUUGGGUUAAGUCCCGCAACGAGCGCAACCCUCGUUCUAUGUUGCCAGCGCGUUAUGGCGGGGACUCAUAGGAGACUGCCGGGGUCAACUCGGAGGAAGGUGGGGAUGACGUCAAAUCAUCAUGCCCCCUAUGUCUUGGGCUUCACGCAUGCUACAAUGGCCGGUACAAAGGGCUGCGAUACCGUAAGGUGGAGCGAAUCCCAAAAAGCCGGUCUCAGUUCGGAUUGAGGUCUGCAACUCGACCUCAUGAAGUCGGAGUCGCUAGUAAUCGCAGAUCAGCAACGCUGCGGUGAAUACGUUCCCGGGCCUUGUACACACCGCCCGUCAAGUCAUGAAAGUCGGUAACACCCGAAGCCGGUGGCCUAACCCUUGUGGAAGGAGCCGUC